UGGACGCUAGCUACAGGCUUAACACAUGCAAGUCGAGGGGCAGCAUGGUCUUAGCUUGCUAAGGCCGAUGGCGACCGGCGCACGGGUGAGUAACACGUAUCCAACCUGCCGUCUACUCUUGGACAGCCUUCUGAAAGGAAGAUUAAUACAAGAUGGCAUCAUGAGUCCGCAUGUUCACAUGAUUAAAGGUAUUCCGGUAGACGAUGGGGAUGCGUUCCAUUAGAUAGUAGGCGGGGUAACGGCCCACCUAGUCUUCGAUGGAUAGGGGUUCUGAGAGGAAGGUCCCCCACAUUGGAACUGAGACACGGUCCAAACUCCUACGGGAGGCAGCAGUGAGGAAUAUUGGUCAAUGGGCGAGAGCCUGAACCAGCCAAGUAGCGUGAAGGAUGACUGCCCUAUGGGUUGUAAACUUCUUUUAUAAAGGAAUAAAGUCGGGUAUGGAUACCCGUUUGCAUGUACUUUAUGAAUAAGGAUCGGCUAACUCCGUGCCAGCAGCCGCGGUAAUACGGAGGAUCCGAGCGUUAUCCGGAUUUAUUGGGUUUAAAGGGAGCGUAGAUGGAUGUUUAAGUCAGUUGUGAAAGUUUGCGGCUCAACCGUAAAAUUGCAGUUGAUACUGGAUAUCUUGAGUGCAGUUGAGGCAGGCGGAAUUCGUGGUGUAGCGGUGAAAUGCUUAGAUAUCACGAAGAACUCCGAUUGCGAAGGCAGCCUGCUAAGCUGCAACUGACAUUGAGGCUCGAAAGUGUGGGUAUCAAACAGGAUUAGAUACCCUGGUAGUCCACACGGUAAACGAUGAAUACUCGCUGUUCGCGAUAUACUGCAAGCGGCCAAGCGAAAGCGUUAAGUAUUCCACCUGGGGAGUACGCCGGCAACGGUGAAACUCAAAGGAAUUGACGGGGGCCCGCACAAGCGGAGGAACAUGUGGUUUAAUUCGAUGAUACGCGAGGAACCUUACCCGGGCUUAAAUUGCAGAUGAAUUACGGUGAAAGCCGUAAGCCGCAAGGCAUCUGUGAAGGUGCUGCAUGGUUGUCGUCAGCUCGUGCCGUGAGGUGUCGGCUUAAGUGCCAUAACGAGCGCAACCCUUGUUGUCAGUUACUAACAGGUUCCGCUGAGGACUCUGACAAGACUGCCAUCGUAAGAUGUGAGGAAGGUGGGGAUGACGUCAAAUCAGCACGGCCCUUACGUCCGGGGCUACACACGUGUUACAAUGGGGGGUACAGAGGGCCGCUACCACGCGAGUGGAUGCCAAUCCCCAAAACCUCUCUCAGUUCGGACUGGAGUCUGCAACCCGACUCCACGAAGCUGGAUUCGCUAGUAAUCGCGCAUCAGCCACGGCGCGGUGAAUACGUUCACGGGCCUUGUACACACCGCCCGUCAAGCCAUGGGAGCCGGGGGUACCUGAAGUGCGUAACCGCGAGGAGCGCCCUAGGGUAAAACUGGUGACUG
rnacentral:rRNA from 1 species